CGAAGGUUUAUAAACGACAACCUGGCUUAACAGAAGCAAAAGUCGUCUGCAAAACUUGCGUUGUCGUCUGCUAACUAGCUGCUGAAUACAGUGAUUGAGCAUCAACCAAACAUGAAGAUGCUUCUCCUGACAAUGAAAAAAUGGCUCAUGCUUCUCCUGUUACUCCUCGUCAUUGGAUCAGUGGCAGUAGCUGAUCCCUGGACUGCCAGACGCGCCAGUAGAAGUGCUGAUCCGGGUGGAUUCACUUGACAUUCCAGCUCAGGUUUUUCCGUGCGGGUGUUUGACUGGAAAAGCAGACUAAGGUGAGUACAUGCUUUUUUCUCUUCUCUUGUUAUAAGUUCUUCCCCUGUGAGCGUGCAAGGUCACAGCCAUUUAUGGAAUGCAUGUAGGUGAAAGAAAAAAAGAAAAGAGGUUCAUUCCUUCCCGCUGCCGACAUGCAAUCUUUGUGAUUUUAAAGUGCACCUUCUUAGAUCAUCGCAGUAGAUGAAAUGAAAAAUAAACGAUUGCAAACAGUACAACAUUAUUUUUUUAUUUAGGACAUUGCAUUGCGUUGUAUGUUUUGGAGGACAUUGCUAAUUUACAAAUCGGCUUCACCUAACUUCUACGUGCGUUGCGGGAAGUCAACGUUAGGAAAUGCUCAGUCUUGCUGGAUUGCUUGUUUCUUUGCAUUUCAAUUCAGCGGAACGGUGUUUUUUUAAUUGUUUGACUUUGGUUCUUCAUAAAACAUAUUUUCCAGUUCAUCGUCUUUGUUGUAACUACUCCGACGAGGUUGAAGGGUCAUCUCACAUUUUGGGCUUGUAAGAUCGACUUCUUCUAAGCAUUUUUUUAGCUUCUCUUUUUCAUUUCAUGUUCGGGUAACAACAGAACACUUCACCUGCACGUCAAUGGCAAACAGGUCAGAAAGAAAGGAAUGUGUCUACCUUCAUUUGUGAGACGUAGCUAGUCUUCACUCAACUCCUACGUGCAUUGGGGGAAAGCCUACUUUAGGAAAUGUUCAGUCUUGCUACUGCAUGUUUCUUUGCAUUUAAACUUAGUGAAACGGUGUUUUUUUUAUCGUUUGAUUUUGGUUUGACAUAAAACAUAUUUUCCAGUUCAUCUUCCUUCUUUUGCUGUAACUACUCCGAGGAGGUUGAAGGGAAGAGUUUGAGAUCUUCCUUGACAACAAGGCAAAAAUGUGUGCUAUACAAUGGAGAAGAGGUGGAAAACUUUUUUUUUUCAAGUUAAUCCACUCGGGAUUCCAGAUGAAGAUUUUUUUCUCCGUGAGAGUGUUUGACUGGAAAGACAGACUGUGGAGACGUGUUUGAGACGACACACAGGCUGCAUCCGAAAUUCGUGUGUGUAACCUCUUCUCCAUCUGCCACACACAUCUCUACCUAGCACACGCUGCUCUUCAUCUGCGUCUGAUGAUGACAACCAUGCGCCAUCAAGCCGAGGAUCAACCUCAGGCCAUGUUGUGUCAUCGGCGGCUGACUUGUCUUGACUGGUCAUUACAAACCAAGUUCAUUCUAUACAGCAAGAGGAGAAAGCAAAUUGUCAU